rnacentral:rRNA from 1 species
UACAGAGGUCCCAAGCGUUGUUCGGAUUCAUUGGGCGUAAAGGGUGCGUAGGCGGCGCGGUAAGUCGGGUGUGAAAUCUCGGAGCUUAACUCCGAAACUGCAUUCGAUACUGCCGUGCUUGAGGACUGGAGAGGAGACUGGAAUUUACGGUGUAGCGGUGAAAUGCGUAGAUAUCGUAAGGAAGUCCAGUGGCGAAGGCGGGUCUCUGGACAGUUCCUGACGCUGAGGCACGAAGGCCAGGGGAGCAAACGGG